rnacentral:rRNA from 1 species
GAGUUUGAUCAUGGCUCAGGAUGAACGCUGGCGGUAUGCUUUACACAUGCAAGUCGUACGGGAGUUUUUAACUCUAGUGGCGGACGGGUGAGUAACACGUAAGAAUUUACCUUUAGGAGGGGGAUAACAACUGGAAACGGUUGCUAAUACCCCAUAUGCUUUCGAGUGAAAUGGAAUUUUCCGCCUAGAGAGAAGCUUGCGGCUGAUUAGCUUGUUGGUGAGGUAAUGGCUUACCAAGGCGACGAUCAGUAUCUGGUUUGAGAGGACGAUCAGACACACUGGAACUGAGACACGGUCCAGACUCCUACGGGAGGCAGCAGUGGGGAAUUUUCCGCAAUGGGCGAAAGCCUGACGGAGCAAUACCGCGUGAGGGAUGACGGCCUAUGGGUUGUAAACCUCUUUUUUCAGGGAGGAAUCAAUGACGUGUACCUGAAGAAUAAGCAUCGGCUAACUCCGUGCCAGCAGCCGCGGUAAGACGGAGGAUGCAAGUGUUAUCCGGAAUCACUGGGCGUAAAGCGUCUGUAGGUGGUUUAA